GUGAGGAAUAUUGGUCAAUGGGCGAGAGCCUGAACCAGCCAAGUAGCGUGAGGGAUGACUGCCCUAUGGGUUGUAAACCUCUUUUGCAGGGGGGUAAAGUGGUCCACGUGUGGAUCAUUGCAAGUACCCUGCGAAUAAGGAUCGGCUAACUCCGUGCCAGCAGCCGCGGUAAUACGGAGGAUCCGAGCGUUAUCCGGAUUUAUUGGGUUUAAAGGGAGCGUAGGCGGGGGUUUAAGUCAGCUGUGAAAUGCCGUGGCCCAACCAUGGAACUGCAGUUGAAACUGGACCUCUUGAGAGUACAUAAGGAAGGCGGAAUUCGUGGUGUAGCGGUGAAAUGCAUAGAUAUCACGAAGAACUCCGAUUGCGAAGGCAGCUUUCCGGGGUACAUCUGACGCUGAAGCUCGAAAGUGCGGGAAUCAAACAGGAUUAGAAACCCUUGUAGUCC
rnacentral:rRNA from 1 species